UACGGAGGGUGCAAGCGUUGUCCGGAAUCACUGGGCGUAAAGGGCGCGUAGGCGGCUCGGUAAGUAGGGGGUGAAAUCCUGCGGCUUAACCGCAGGGCUGCCUUCUAAACUGUCGAGCUUGAGCACGGUAGAGGCAGAUGGAAUUCCCGGUGUAGCGGUGGAAUGCGUAGAGAUCGGGAAGAACAUCAGUGGCGAAGGCGGUCUGCUGGGCCGUUGCUGACGCUUAGGCGCGACAGCGUGGGGAGCAAACAGG
rnacentral:rRNA from 1 species